rnacentral:rRNA from 1 species
UACGUAGGGUCCGAGCGUUGUCCGGAAUUACUGGGCGUAAAGAGCUCGUAGGUGGUUUGUCGCGUUGUUCGUGAAAACUCACAGCUCAACUGUGGGCGUGCGGGCGAUACGGGCAGACUAGAGUACUGCAGGGGAGACUGGAAUUCCUGGUGUAGCGGUGGAAUGCGCAGAUAUCAGGAGGAACACCGGUGGCGAAGGCGGGUCUCUGGGCAGUAACUGACGCUGAGGAGCGAAAGCUUGGGGAGCAAACAGG